ensembl:lncRNA
UGCUCUUCUUCUGUGCAAUCUCAGUUAUACAUGCAUUUCUUGUAGGUGAUUCAGACUUUUCUUCUGAAUAUAAUAACCAUGUGUCACAAAGGCAAAUUCCAGCAUCUAAUGGAGCAUUUCUCACCAAAGAUGAUGAGUUUCUUAAUUUUGAGGAACCAUUUUGUGCUUCAAAAUCCUGCUCUUCAUUUAUGAUAAAUGCAAAUGAAGAGAAUUGGAGCAAUGCAGAAUCCAGGACAGUGCAAAAUGUCAUUUCUCAGAUGGUUGCACUGAUCAUGUGUUUAAUCAUUUCAGUAUGUACAAGGUAAUUUUUAUUUCUUUUAUUUUCUGUUUCUGACAUGAAUGCUUGCUUCAUUUCAACUGGGGAAUAAAACUUAAUUUAAUUUCAAAGUUAUAUGUAUCUUACUGUAAAAAUGUAUUUUCACAUGAUAGUCAAUGCAGGCAAAUAUCUGAGCUAUAUAGAUAUGCAGAAAUGAAAGCUACUUUGCCAAGUGUGCUUUGACAGGGGUUUUGGCAGGCUGAGAAGAAUCAGAAUGGAUCCAUGUCUUUCUAAGUGGAUUUUUCUCUCAGUCUGAAUGCUGAGGUCUUUCUUGACAGGAGAUUAUCUUCAAUAGUUUACGUAAUUUAAAGUUUCAAAUUACAGUUCACCUACCAGAGUUCAGAGGGUUCAUCUGCAAGAACCCUUCCUCCUCCUCCCACUCAGGUUUCACCUCUUUUAACCCAAUAUGCAUCCCUUGGCUUUUUUUAACCUUUCUGGGUAUUGUUAUGUUCUCAGAUACUUUAUGGGAGGACUGUUUGCCACUUUGUUGCUGGUGAUUUUAGUUCGUAAGUAUAGAAUUUCUUUAUUUCCAACAUAAUUUUUUUUACUAAGUCACACCUGAAGAACAAAUUCUUUCCUUGAAUGUAUAUCCAUGGGUCUUACUGAUCCUAGUAAGAGUAGUAUAUGGUCAAAUGGGGACAAAUGUAGCCUUCAAUCCAUUACAGCAUUUUGCAUUUUAAUUUCACAGUUCUUUUGUCCCAAGAUACUGCUGUGUCCGCUUUCUUCAGUCUCAAUACAUUUUUCAAAACAACUAAAUUUUGACAAUAAUAAGAAAUAAAGAACAAUUGCUCUUCAGCACUGAACUCCUGGAUACCUCCUUAUGGCCAUGGUUACACACUUCUGUGGGGAAAAAAUAUAACAGAUUUGAUAAUAUUCUUCCUCCAAAAUACAAUGAAUUUUAGCUUUAUUUUUCUUCUUAUCAAAUGUGAGUGAGUCCUUACUUCUUGGUGACUACCUGAAAGAAAUCACACAAAGAAAUGCUAUAUCUGUAGUAUCUUAUCUCAAUAAUGAAAAAUGUUCUGCAAUUCCUGUGAAUUUUUUUAUAUAAAAAUGAUGUAAUCUUAUAUUUUAUGUAUUAAUUUCUUGUUACAACAUGCUAUCAAAGAUAAUGGAUUUGGAUAGUGGCCGAGUACCUGUGAUAAUGAUUUACUAUGCAACUAAAACAGUAUUUAUUAUACUUAUCCUCAUAUUUACUUGUAGUUAAUGCACUUGAAUAGUAUUGUAAGUGUCAAAUAAUUCCUCUUUAUUUAAAGUACAGAGACAACUGAGAUUAAAUAUCAAUCUGUAAAACAUGUAAAUAUUUUGUUAUCUAUUUUUGCCUAACAUAAAAGGUCCAUUACUAAAAUAAUGAUAAAAGUAAAGGAUUAUAAAGAUUUUUAGUGCUUAAAUAAUCUCUUAAAAUAAUAAUCUGGAAAUUUAAAUCCCAUCCUGAGAGAAAAGACUAAGACUGUAAUUACCCUGCAGUCACCAAAGUAAUUAUGCUGAAAACUAGAAAAGAAGAGUUCACUGUAAACUUAUUAGUUCACUGUAAACUAUCAAAGCAAAAUCUGAUUGAGAUUGAAAGAAAAAAAAGGUGUGCAAUUAAUUCCUAUAAUCUGUCUGUUAAUAAAUACAAACUAUAAAUUAGAAUUGUUCUGAUC